rnacentral:rRNA from 1 species
GACGAACGCUGGCGGCGUGCCUAAUACAUGCAAGUGGAACGCAUGAUUGAUACCGGAGCUUGCUCCACCAUUAAUCAUGAGUCGCGAACGGGUGAGUAACGCGUAGGUAACCUACCUCAUAGCGGGGGAUAACUAUUGGAAACGAUAGCUAAUACCGCAUAACAGUAUUUAUCACAUGGUAAAUGCUUGAAAGGAGCAAUUGCUUCACUAUGAGAUGGACCUGCGUUGUAUUAGCUAGUUGGUGGGGUAACGGCUCACCAAGGCAUCGAUACAUAGCCGACCUGAGAGGGUGAUCGGCCACACUGGGACUGAGACACGGCCCAGACUCCUACGGGAGGCAGCAGUAGGGAAUCUUCGGCAAUGGGGGGAACCCUGACCGAGCAACGCCGCGUGAGUGAAGAAGGUUUUCGGAUCGUAAAGCUCUGUUGUAAGAGAAGAACGUGUGUGAGAGUGGAAAGUUCACACAGUGACGGUAACUUACCAGAAAGGGACGGCUAACUACGUGCCAGCAGCCGCGGUAAUACGUAGGUCCCGAGCGUUGUCCGGAUUUAUUGGGCGUAAAGCGAGCGCAGGCGGUUUGAUAAGUCUGAAGUAAAAGGCUGUGGCUUAACCAUAGUAUGCUUUGGAAACUGUCAAACUUGAGUGCAGAAGGGGAGAGUGGAAUUCCAUGUGUAGCGGUGAAAUGCGUAGAUAUAUGGAGGAACACCGGUGGCGAAAGCGGCUCUCUGGUCUGUAACUGACGCUGAGGCUCGAAAGCGUGGGGAGCAAACAGGAUUAGAUACCCUGGUAGUCCACGCCGUAAACGAUGAGUGCUAGGUGUUGGGUCCUUUCCGGGACUCAGUGCCGCAGCUAACGCAUUAAGCACUCCGCCUGGGGAGUACGACCGCAAGGUUGAAACUCAAAGGAAUUGACGGGGGCCCGCACAAGCGGUGGAGCAUGUGGUUUAAUUCGAAGCGACGCGAAGAACCUUACCAGGUCUUGACAUCCCAGUGACCGUCCUAGAGAUAGGAUUUUUCUUCGGAACACUGGAGACAGGUGGUGCAUGGUUGUCGUCAGCUCGUGUCGUGAGAUGUUGGGUUAAGUCCCGCAACGAGCGCAACCCCUAUUGUUAGUUGCCAUCAUUCAGUUGGGCACUCUAGCGAGACUGCCGGUAAUAAACCGGAGGAAGGUGGGGAUGACGUCAAAUCAUCAUGCCCCUUAUGACCUGGGCUACACACGUGCUACAAUGGCUGGUACAACGAGUCGCAAGUCGGUGACGACAAGCUAAUCUCUUAAAGCCAGUCUCAGUUCGGAUUGUAGGCUGCAACUCGCCUACAUGAAGUCGGAAUCGCUAGUAAUCGCGGAUCAGCACGCCGCGGUGAAUACGUUCCCGGGCCUUGUACACACCGCCCGUCACACCACGAGAGUUUGUAACACCCGAAGUCGGUGAGGUAACCAUUUGGAGCCAGCCGCCUAAGGUGGGAUAGAUGAUUGGGGUG